GACAGAGGGUGCAAACGUUGUUCGGAAUUAUUGGGCGUAAAGAGCGUGUAGGCGGUUUGGUAGGUCCGUUGUGAAAACUCGAGGCUCAACCUCGAGACGCCGAUGGAAACCAUCAGACUAGAGUCCGGAAGAGGAGAGUGGAAUUCCUGGUGUAGCGGUGAAAUGCGCAGAUAUCAGGAAGAACACCCGUGGCUAAGGCGGCUCUCUAGUACGGUACUGACGCUGAGACGCGAAAGCGUGGGGAGCGAACAGG
rnacentral:rRNA from 1 species